UACGUAGGGGGCUAGCGUUGUCCGGAAUCAUUGGGCGUAAAGCGCGCGUAGGCGGCCAGAUAAGUCCGGUGUGAAAGCCACAGGCUCAACCUGUGAAUGCCGCUGGAAACUGUCUGGCUAGAGUCCGGGAGGGGCGAGUGGAAUUCCUGGUGUAGCGGUGAAAUGCGCAGAUAUCAGGAGGAACACCGGUGGCGAAGGCGGGUCUCUAGGCCGACACUGACGCUGAGGAGCGAAAGCGUGGGGAGCGAACAGG
rnacentral:rRNA from 1 species